rnacentral:rRNA from 1 species
UACGAAGGGGGCUAGCGUUGCUCGGAAUCACUGGGCGUAAAGGGUGCGUAGGCGGGGCUUUAAGUCAGGGGUGAAAUCCUGGAGCUCAACUCCAGAACUGCCUUUGAUACUGGCGAUCUUGAGUCCGGGAGAGGUGAGUGGAACUCCGAGUGUAGAGGUGAAAUUCGUAGAUAUUCGCAAGAACACCAGUGGCGAAGGCGGCUCACUGGCCCGUUACUGACGCUGAGGCACGAAAGCGUGGGGAGCAAACAGG